AGUGAACGCUGGCGGUAGGCCUAACACAUGCAAGUCGAACGGCAGCACAGUAAGAGCUUGCUCUUACGGGUGGCGAGUGGCGGACGGGUGAGGAAUACAUCGGAAUCUACUUUUUCGUGGGGGAUAACGUAGGGAAACUUACGCUAAUACCGCAUACGACCUACGGGUGAAAGCAGGGGAUCUUCGGACCUUGCGCGAUUGAAUGAGCCGCUGUCGGAUUAGCUAGUUGGCGGGGUAAAGGCCCACCAAGGCGACGAUCCGUAGCUGGUCUGAGAGGAUGAUCAGCCACACUGGAACUGAGACACGGCCCAGACUCCUACGGGAGGCAGCAGUGGGGAAUAUUGGACAAUGGGCGCAAGCCUGAUCCAGCCAUACCGCGUGGGUGAAGAAGGCCUUCGGGUUGUAAAGCCCUUUUGUUGGGAAAGAAAAGCAGCAGGUUAAUACCCCGCUGUUCUGACGGUACCCAAAGAAUAAGCACCGGCUAACUUCGUG
rnacentral:rRNA from 1 species